GCAUCUUCUCCUAUUGUUGUCCAGCGCAAUUGUUCUACAUUACCGUUUUCAUCAUUUAGGAGUGCUUUAUUGCAACGACCAGUCCAUACUCCGCUGACCUCUGGACCAUCAUUUAUGUCUUGUUUUCGAACUGUAAGAUGUGCCUAUCCAACAUCAUUGGUUGGAUUGAAUUGGAGAAAGGGAAAAUUUAUUUGGAAACAUCGACCGGGCAAAAUUAGAACAACUGUUCACGGACGUUCAUAGUAUGGAGGCCCUGAGUACAUAUGUGGUAAUUGCAAUGCGUUGUAUUAGUUUCAAGAACGUUCUAAGGGUGUUCAUGAUGGAAGGUUAAAUUUGCCAGUUUACAACGAUUGCUGCAUUCUGGGAAAGUUCCAUUACCUAAAUUUCCUGAUUGUCCUUUUCCAUUGAAGGAGUUGCUUAGAUUUGAUGGUGAUGAUGCUUCAUAUGGAUUCUGAGGUUGAUUAGACAUUACAACUCUAUGUUCUGUUUUACCACUCUUGGUGCUCAUGUUGAUGAAAGUGUUAAUAUGGGAAACGAACCACACGUCUUCAAGAUGGGUGGUUCGGUCUAUCAUGUAUUGGUUCUUUGAUACCUGCAGAUGACCAGGCUCCUAAGUUUGGUCAGUUAUAUAUAGUUGAACUAACUGUAGACUCAGGCUAUGCUCUUGUGGAUAAAUUCAUGGUCCAUGGACCGUGUGGAGAACAUAA